rnacentral:rRNA from 1 species
UACAGAGGGUGCAAGCGUUGUUCGGAAUUAUUGGGCGUAAAGCGCGUGUAGGCGGCUUGGCAAGUCGGGUGUGAAAGCCCUCAGCUCAACUGAGGAAGUGCGCCCGAAACUGCUUUGCUUGAGUGCUGGAGAGGGUCGCGGAAUUCCCCAAGUAGAGGUGAAAUUCGUAGAUAUGGGGAGGAACACCGGUGGCGAAGGCGGCGACCUGGACAGUAACUGACGCUGAGACGCGAAAGCGUGGGGAGCAAACAGGAUUAGAAACCCCCGUAGUCC